GUGGCUUAAUUUGACUCAACACGGGAAAUCUUACCGGGUCCGGACAUAUCGAGGAUUGACAGAUUGUUAACGUGCACCAAAGGUGUUGAGUUUUUAAACUUAACAGCUCUUUCAUGAUUAUAUGAUAGGUGGUGCAUGGCCGUUCUUAGUUCGUGGAGUGAUCUGUCUGCUUAAUUGCGUUUCAAAUUUUUUUUNAUUUCUCAGGAGUCGGGUUUACGUGUCAUAUUUACAAUUGAGUUUAUGGUUGAUCGGGCGUGAACCGUGUGUGUUUUAGGACAUGCCGACCAUCGUCCAGUACAUUACUCUUAUAGUUGUUUAUUUGGCCCCUGGCUUUUUUGAACGCAACGGACGUGACCUCAACCCUUAGUUGAGAUGCUCUUGAACCAAGCUUCUCUACGUCUGCUAGACUGCUCGACUUCGGUUGGGUGGAAAGGUGGAUAAACUUUGGGGACGUCUUAAGAUAAAUAUUUUUCUCAAACCAGAGGAAGAUUGCGGCAAUAACAGGUCUGUGAU
rnacentral:rRNA from 1 species